UGGGGAAUAUUGCACAAUGGGCGCAAGCCUGAUGCAGCCAUGCCGCGUGUAUGAAGAAGGCCUUCAGGUUGUAAAGUACUUUCAGUCGGGAGGAAGGUGGUAAGGUUAAUAACCUUGGCAAUUGACGUUACCGACAGAAGAAGCACCGGCUAACUCCGUGCCAGCAGCCGCGGUAAUACGGAGGGUGCAAGCGUUAAUCGGAAUUACUGGGCGUAAAGCGCACGCAGGCGGUUGAUUGAGUCAGAUGUGAAAUCCCCGGGCUUAACCCGGGAAUUGCAUCUGAUACUGGUCAGCUAGAGUCUUGUAGAGGGGGGUAGAAUUCCAUGUGUAGCGGUGAAAUGCGUAGAGAUGUGGAGGAAUACCGGUGGCGAAGGCGGCCCCCUGGACAAAGACUGACGCUCAGGUGCGAAAGCGUGGGGAGCAAACAGG
rnacentral:rRNA from 1 species